CACGAUUGUUCCGUAGAACCAACAGUAACAUUUGGUCGUUUUAUUUCCUUACCGAAAAACUCAAGAAACUCUUAAGUAGUCACCAUGAAGCUGUUCUGUAUUUUCUUCCUUCUGUUUGUGUUGUCUGCUGCAGUUUCAGCUUAUCCUGGCGGCAGUGCUAUAGAUGACAACAAGCGGGGCUUAGAUGAAUUAUCAAGUGUUCAGUCAGCUAAGAAGGAUGCUUUGGUCAGUCGUAACGCUAUAGUUCCCGGGACGACACUACACUUGCAAGAAAAUUCAGAAGAUGAAAUAAACCGCUUAAAAGAUGUA